rnacentral:tRNA from 6 species
GGGCGAUGUGCUGCAAGGUGCGGCAGCGGACUGUAACUCCGCCGAGGCGACUCGUGCCUGGUUCGAUUCCAGGAUCGCCCACCA